rnacentral:tRNA from 1 species
CGGGGCGUGGCGCAGCCUGGUAGCGCACCUGCUUUGGGAGCAGGGGGUCGGAGGUUCGAAUCCUCUCGCCCCGACCG